rnacentral:rRNA from 1 species
AUACGGAGGAUGCAAGCGUUAUCCGGAUUUAUUGGGUUUAAAGGGUGCGUAGGCGGUUUGCUAAGCGGGAGGUGAAAUGCCGGCGCUCAACGUCGGAAGUGCCUCCCGAACUGGUGGACUGGAAUGACUCUGCCGUGGGAGGAAUGUGUAGUGUAGCGGUGAAAUGCUUAGAGAUUACACAGAACACCGAUUGCGAAGGCAUCUCACGAAGGGUUGAUUGACGCUGAGGCACGAAAGCGUGGGGAUCAAACAGGAUUAGAUACCCUGGUAGUCCACGCAGUAAACGAUGAUGGCUAACCGCUGGUUUAUUCGGAUCAGUGGCCAAGCGAAAGCGAUAAGCCAUCCACCUGGGGUGUACGACCGCAAGGUUGAAACUCAAAGGAAUUGACGGGG